rnacentral:lncRNA from 1 species
UCAUUCAACGCGGGCGGCGUGGAACAAUUUUUUAGAGGUCAGAGCGGAAGGUUCUCCCUAAGUUUCAGAGCAAGCAGCCUCCGGGGGCCCGGGGGCCCGGGGGCCCGGGGGCGGCGGCGGCGGGGGGGGCGGGGAGCGCGGCCCGCGGCUCCGAGGCUCCCCGAACACCUGAUCUCCCCCUGCGGCAACCGAGGCCGGCGCAGUGCGCGGGCGGGGCGAGGGGUGCGAGCCCGGAGCCGCGCUCCGCCCCAGGCGCCCCUGCCCGCGGCCCGCAUCCCCCGCGCGGGCCCCCCGGAAGCUGGGGUGCAGCGAGGAGGGGGCGUCCCGGGGCCCCGCGGGGGGUGGGGGAGGGCGGGCGGCGGAGAGGACGCGCAGCCGCGGGCGUCCCUACCCCCGGCCCCGGGGCGGGGGAAGGGGGCGCCGGGAUGCGGCGGGAGCACAGGGCCGCCCUCCUCCCGGGGCGCGCCGCGGGAAGCCCGAGUCGGCGACGGACGGCGCCGGGAGGGAGGCGGGCAGGGCCCGGCCGGCGGGCGGGGGGUGCGGCUCGCAGCCCCGGCCCUACCUUGUCCGGGAGCAGCUCCUGCUCAGCGGGGCGGGGGCGGGGGCGGGAGAUCCCGGCCGCAUCCACGUUCCGGCCGCUCGGCGCGGCUCAGCCCGGCGACCGCCGCCGCUCCCGCUCCAUCCGUUGCACCGCGAGGGGCGGCCCGGUGGCGUCGGCGGCGAGGGAGUCCCCGGCGCGGCCCGGCCCCGGCACUUGUUGCCGCCUCGGCCGCUGCGCCUCUCACUCCCGGCUCCGGCUCCCGGCGCCGCCGCCGCCGCCGCCGCCUCUGGGCGCCCGGCCCCGCCCCCGUCCCGCCCCCGGGCCCGCCCCCGCCCCGCCCCGCGCGCCAAUCGGGCCCGGCCCCGCCCCCCGCGUCACGGCCCCGCGGGGCCCGCAGCCCCGCGCCCCAAGUUUGGGGGAGGCCGCGCUGCGCCCACGACUCGCCCGCCUUCCCCGGCUCGUGCUCCUCCUGGCUUCCAGGGACCUCCCCCUCGGGGCCCCCAGGUCCACACGGGGAAGGCGGAGGGUUAAAGCGGGGGAGGGGGACCCCAGACAGUAGAGCCCCUCGGAAGGGCAGGGCUGCCGGCCGGGUUCCCGCCCCGUCUAACCUAGAGCAGCGGCAGGUCGCCCCCGGCGCGGGGCGCCUGAUGCUGGGGGACGAAGCGCAAAGGCGGGGAAGGACCCCCGCGACCUUCUCCGGCAGAACCGGCCUGGGCCUGGGCCUGGGCCGGCCCGCGGCCCCCCCGCCGGCCCAGGGACGCCACUGCCACCCGCCCGGGAACGGGGGGGGUGGGUCGUGCGGAGGGUUUCCUCGCGGUGCAGAAAUGCGGGGUGUCCCGACGCCGCGCCUCCAGCCGCGCCGCCCACAGGGCAGGGCGGACACCCCGGAGCCCACAAGGCUGACCUCUGACACACCUGCGCUCCCCCUCCUGGGUGGCGCCUGGGCGUGGACGGCGCCUCGGGCCGACGCACCUGGGCGCACCGACGCACCUCCCGGCCGGCGCCCCCGCUGGCUCGCCCGGGCACUGCACGCCGAGGGGAGCUCCGCCUCCCGCCGCGCGUGGGGCACGUGGGGCGCGCAGGUCCGGCGGGCGCCGGGGUCCGGGAGGCGGCGCAGCUCGGAGGGGCGCCGGGGGGUGGGGUGGGGGGGCAGAAAGCACCUCCCUCUCUUGGUCCUUAUCUCUUCGGGAGCACAGAGAGUCCCCUUUAUACUAGUAAGACGGCGAUUAAGGACUCUCUACCCUCAAAUAUUUGCAUUUUUUUUCCCGAAGGCUUUCGGAGGCGGGAUCGGCCGAAGGGGAGGGAGCUGCCAAAGUAGGAAUGUCAGGCACCCGGGAGCCCGGCGCCCUGCACGGUGGGUCCUUAGCUCUUAUCUCAGCGAGGAGCACGUUGCUGCGGGAUGCGCCGAGCCUCGUGGGUGCAACUCUUCGAGACACAGGAAUUCGCAGUCCGACCUGGGAAAGUUUGGAUUUCGCAGCCUUCGGACCUUUUGUUUUUUUUUUUUUUUUUUUUUUUGCUUUUAUGUUGCGCACACGCUUCUCCCAAGACCGAAACAAGAAAAGUCCAAGAAACAAGUUGGAUUCUGUGUCUUCCUAGAAAAACAAGAAGGAUGCGCGCUGCCUGCCAACCGGGGUUAUCUCGAGUGGGGGGGCUGGGAGUGUGAGAAGGGGGGGAGCUGGAUUUUAUCCCCUCACCGACUUUGA